rnacentral:rRNA from 1 species
CCUACGGGUGGCAGCAGUGGGGAAUAUUGGUCAAUGGGCGAAAGUCUGAACCAGCCAAGUCGCGUGAGGGAUGACGGCCCUAUGAGUGGAAAACUCCUUUUAUAUGGGAGUAAAAUGUUCCACGUAUGGGUUCUUGUAUGUACCAUAUCAAUAAGGAUCGGCUAACUCCGCGCCAGCAGCCGCGGUAAUACGGAGGGUCCGAGCGUUAUGCGGAUUUAUUGGGUUUAAAGGGAGCGUAGGGGGAUUGUUAAGUCAGUUGUGAAGGUUUGCGGCUCAACCGUAAAAGUGCAGUUGAAACUGGCAGUCUUGAGUACAGUAGAGGUGAGCGGAAUUCGUGGUGUAGCGGUGAAAUGCUUAGAUAUCAGGAAGAACACCGGUUGCGAAGGCAGUUCACUGGACUGUAACUGACGCUGAGGCUCGAAAGUGUGGGUAGCAAACAGGAUUAGAUACCCCAGUAGUC